CUUUGUCAAAUCUUUUUUCCUUCCCUGGGUUCUCGGCUCCCCCUUUUCGUUACCCUUUCCCCAAAGCUAUGGUAUCUCCCAUUCCAGAACCCCAAUUCCCCUCGAAGAUCCAAGUCAUUAAAACACAAAAAUGGGUUCUCUGUCUGUACCUCUGCAUCAAACACCCUUCCCCUUCUUUUUUCUUCUUCAGGGGAACUUAGCAAUUCGGAUCCUUUUAAGUAUAACAAUUCAACUGGGAUCAGCUAUGAGACCCUGGGGCCGGAGGAGCUUCGCAGCCUGCUAACCACGCAAUGUGGGGUGAUUUCUGAACACACCAAGAAGAUGUGCACAAGGUCCCUGCGCUGCCCACAGCACACAGAUGAGCAGAGGCGAACCGUACGGAUUUAUUUUCUCGGGCCCUCGGCUGUCCUUCCAGAGGUCGAGAGCUCCCUGGAUAAUGACAGCUUUGACAUGACUGACAGCCAGGCCCUGAUCAGCCGGCUUCAGUGGGACGGCUCCUCUGACCUCUCACCCUCUGAUUCAGGCUCCUCCAAGACGAG
rnacentral:lncRNA from 1 species